CCUACGGGAGGCAGCAGUGAGGAAUAUUGGACAAUGGGCGCAAGCCUGAUCCAGCCAUGCCGCGUGCAGGAAGAAGCAUCUAUGGUGUGUAAACUGCUUUUGUACAGGAAGAAACACUCCCUCGUGAGGGAGCUUGACGGUACUGUAAGAAUAAGGACCGGCUAACUCCGUGCCAGCAGCCGCGGUAAUACGGAGGGUCCGAGCGUUAUCCGGAAUCAUUGGGUUUAAAGGGUCCGUAGGCGGUUUAAUAAGUCAGUGGUGAAAUCUGGUCGCUCAACGAUCAAACGGCCAUUGAUACUGUUAGACUUGAAUUAUAAGGAAGUAACUAGAAUAUGUAGUGUAGCGGUGAAAUGCUUAGAUAUUACAUGGAAUACCAAUUGCGAAGGCAGGUUACUACUUAUGGAUUGACGCUGAUGGACGAAAGCGUGGGGAGCGAACAGGAUUAGAUACCCUGGUAGUCCACGCCGUAAACGAUGGAUACUAGCUGUUCGGAGCAAUCGGAGUGGCUAAGCGAAAGUGAUAAGUAUCCCACCUGGGGAGUACGUUCGCAAGAAUGAAACUCAAAGGAAUUGACGGCUGAGAGNGCGAGACGACGACGAGGGAGGAGG
rnacentral:rRNA from 1 species